rnacentral:rRNA from 1 species
UACGUAGGGUGCGAGCGUUGUCUGGAAUUAUUGGGCGUAAAGAGCUUGUAGGCGGUCUGUCGCGCCUGCUGUGAAAAUCCGGGGCUCAACCCCGGACUUGCAGUGGGUACGGGCAGACUAGAGUGUGGUAGGGGAGACUGGAAUUCCUGGUGUAGCGGUGAAAUGCGCAGAUAUCAGGAGGAACACCGAUGGCGAAGGCAGGUCUCUGGGCCACUACUGACGCUGAGAAGCGAAAGCAUGGGGAGCGAACAGG